UGCACAUGUGAUGACCAUCAGAAGGGACUUAAUACUGAACCGUGUGAUGCUGUAUUUAUUUCUGAUGUGU